rnacentral:tmRNA from 1 species
GGGGUUGAUUUGGCUUCGACAGGAGCUAUAUCGCUUGAGUUGCAUACCAGCUGUACGCUGUAAAACUACAAACAACAAUAAACGCAAAUAAUACAAAUUACGCUCCAGCUUACGCAAAAAUCGCGUGAGUUUAACUUAACUCUUAGGAGCUGAUCAGGUUAGUCAUACUAGCUAGCUUUUCUGAUCAUCAAAAUUGCUAGUUGCCCUUCUGAGAUGCCAGGUUCAUAAGGAAAGAUUUUGGUUGCUUGUGUGUUAUGUUUUGGGAAUUGAACAAACAUACAAAAAGAAUUUUCAAUUCUGCCUAAGUAUGUAGACGCUCUUGAUAGGUAUGGUUUUUGGACUGGGGUUCGAUUCCCCACAGCUCCACCA